CACAAAACAAUAUGGUGUUUUUAAGGGCUCAUGGUCUCUCUGAGUAUCACAGGUGGGAAUGAGGCAUCUAACAGUCAGAAGGAGCUCACCCUGGUUGUGUCCAGCUUACUGAUCAAGUGCCAAGUGGCCCAGUGGAGUCCUCCUCUGAUGGGUGCCCAGGGGCCCUUCUCUUUGUGGGCUCCCUCCUUCCUCACCUCUGCCUUGGUCCUUGGCCUUUUUCUGCUCAGCAGCUGGGCUCCGGGUGAAGGGGCAGCUACGGUAUCUGUGGCUGACAGUGAUGGCUCUCACAGCAUAACAAGAAAGAGCACCGAUCAGAAUAAAUGAGGAUGCAAUUAGCAAGGUCACAGACGCUGACGUCAGCAGGCCAUGCGCAAAUCUGAAGGCCAAGAAGGAGUUCCCGGGCCGUAUGUCUUGGCUCAGUCCAGCACAACAAAAUGUCCCACACACUGGGUGGUUUACACAACAAGUACUUGUUUCUCACAGUUCUGGAGGCUGGGAAGACCAAGAUCAAGGAGUUAGCAGAUUGGGUUCCCGAUGAGACCUGCUUCCUGUCUCGCAGACGGCCACCUUCUCACUGUGUCCUCAUAUGGCAGAGAGAGCGACAGAGUGUGUUCCGUGCCUCUCCUCAUCUAUUACAAGGACGCUAAUCCCAUCCGCAAGACUUCACAAAACCUAAUUACCUCCCGAAAGCUAACCCUCCGAAUACCAUCCCACUGGGGAUUAGGGCUCCAACAUAGGGAUUUUAGAGGGACUAAAACAUCUAGUCUACACAGCAUGUGACUUGGACAAGUCACUGCCCCCCCCCCCCACAGAAGCUCAGUUUCCUUGUCUCCAAGAUGAGGAAAUUAUAAGUAAUUUGAGAUACCACACAUAAAGGAGCUGACACUUAGCAAGUUCUCAAUAAAUAAUCACUGCCUUGGAGCCCUCCUACGAAAUCGCCUCUCUCCCCCUUUGACUUAAAAUCUCAAGCAGCUGACGCCCAACUGGGGCUACCGUUACCAUUCUUGAUAGGACAGCUUUUGUGAAGGCUUUGUAUUUGCCUGAUUGAUGAGUUGGCUUUUGUUUUUAAGGGAGGAGCAUUUCAAACGGAGCCAUCCUACUUGUCCAUUAGCUGGGCUCCUUCCUUCUCUGCAGAACACAUGUAUCCGUAACCCAGUACGGAGAAGCUUCCUUGCGAUGAAACCCAAAAUGCCUGUUAUUACUCAGAUUAACACUGUCAUCAAUCAUCCACGUUCCGUGAGCAUCCACAAUUGGUGGGCGCUACAUAGACCAUGGAGGCAGACAUGCCUCGUGGGUUUCUAAUCUAAACAGACAGGUAGAGCAGAGACAAAGGGAAAGGGCAAGCGUGCAUCUGAGACUCUCCAGGCUUUCUUUACAUGCAACUGUCUGAUGAUGAAUCACAGGGAAAAAUUCAGCAAGCGGGAGGGUCUAUUAGAGAGCCCAGGGCCUCUUGCCUUUCCCCGGAGAGUCACGGAAACCGUAGCUGUUGGCCCAGGAGUCAGAGGGUGGGCCAGGCAGGGGACAUUCUGACCUUUCCCUCCUCAUUUAUGGAGAAGAGGAUGAAAGUUGGAUGAGUGUAGUAAAUUAUCAUGAUGCCUGUCAUCUCUAAAUUGCAGGACAUGAUGGGAAUAUGUGUUAUUUGUGCUACAUAGGGCAGAGGAUCGUCUACUUUGGUGCCAAAGGAGCACACUGAGUACAGAUAACAAGGGUUGGAGCCAAGCUCUUUAGAGACAGUUGGGGGCCCUCACCUUCUGAGGAAGUAGAAGGUAGGAGCCAGGAAGUCCAAGAAAGCCUGCUGGUAAGUCUAUUGGGCAACAAAUAAAGGUCAACAGUUGGAAAAAUCUAAGAGGGAAGGCAGUGAAAAAAUAAAAUGGCAGCUAUCAGGGGCAGCUGGUUGAGAUGAAUGGUUGCUAUUGAUAGAAGAACCACCCACCUGUGUGGGAAUAUUGAAGAAACCAACAGAGGUAGAAUGUGCCGGAAAGUAGAACGGUUGGCACUCCCAAGUUCCAAAGAUAACCAGGUUAAGUAAACCCUUCUUAAAAUCAGAAAGGAGACCGUGUGUAGGACUGGUCCUCAUAAGUAACAUCGAAACUCGUGGGUCUUUGGAGCUGAGUGCCAUCCUUACAAACUUCCCUUCUGAAUCUGGGAGUGCUACAAAUCCCCCCCAAAGUUCUGACUUUUUCCUCAUAUUAGUCCAUUUGUUCAUUUGAUCCAAGAGGGAGGCUCGAUUAAAAGACGUCCUAUGGAGGGGCACCUGGGUGGCUCAGCCAGUUAAGCAUCUGA